GAUGAACGCUAGCGACAGGCUUAACACAUGCAAGUCGAGGGGCAGCAUGAGGUAGCAAUACCUUGAUGGCGACCGGCGCACGGGUGAGUAACGCGUAUGCAACCUGCCCGAUACCGGAGUAUAGCCCAUGGAAACGUGGAUUAUCACCCCAUAGUACUUUUAUCCUGCAUGGGAUGUGAGUUAAAUGUUCAAGGUAUCGGAUGGGCAUGCGUCCUAUUAGUUAGUUGGCGGGGUAACAGCCCACCAAGACGAUGAUAGGUAGGGGUUCUGAGAGGAAGGUCCCCCACAUUGGAACUGAGACACGAUCCAAACUCCUACGGGAGGCAGCAGUGAGGAAUAUUGGUCAAUGGACGUAAGUCUGAACCAGCCAAGUCGCGUGAGGGAAGACUGCCCUAUGGGUUGUAAACCUCUUUUAUAAGGGAAGAAUAAGUUCUACGUGUAGAAUGAUGCCUGUACCUUAUGAAUAAGCAUCGGCUAACUCCGUGCCAGCAGCCGCCGUAA
rnacentral:rRNA from 1 species